AGGAAAAGCUUCGGUCUGCAGGUCCCACCGAGAUCAACGCAGAAGGUGUUAACUGAAAACUCCUUCAGUCUACUGGAUUUCACCAAACUGCAACCAAGCAGCUUGUUAUUUGGCUGUCAUAUCUCACUUAGGAAACUGUUCAGUUGGUCAUGUCAGAGUCGAUGAUGCCCAGAACAUUUUGAGAAUGGCGGUAAAGUCAAGCUAUAAUUAAACCUGGAGGCUUGCAUUUAAAGGUACCAACAAUGCGAUGGAAUAACAAAGUGGGGCCUUUAAAAGGCAGUUAGGCCAUGAGUUUGUUCCUGAUGAAUGGGAUUAGGCGAGGAUAAAAGAGGCUUCAUACAGCGGUUCAGCCCUCUUGCCCUUCUGCCUUUUACCUUGUGGCGACACAGUAUUCCUCCCCUCCAGAGGAUGCAGGCCUCACCAGACAACAAGAACAGACAGCACCUUGAUCUUGGACUUCUCAUCCUCCAGAACUUGAAUUCCCUCAGUUUCUCUGGACAAGAGUUUUAGCAAGUACCAGAAACCGCAAAUCACAGCUGAAGAAGGGCCAAUAGUCUCACUUCUGCCUCAAAUUACCUGUUUCCAGAUUUGAAGACUGUGAUUACCCAAGUCUUUAAGAGAUAUAAUGAAGACAGCACUUUGCACCCUUGAAUUUUACUCAUUGCAUUACAAUAAAGAGGAAUGCUCCUGGUAGAAGCAUUCUUCUCUCUUAAAGAUCUAAAAGAUUUCUAAGAUCUCCAGACCAGCAGAGCAUGACGUUGUGGAAAAAGAAAGCAAAAAUUCUGUGACUCACUAAGGGUAAUGGUCCAAACAACAUAAUGUCAUCAAUGUAAUGUACCAGUGUGAUACCUAUGGAAGGGAAAGGCACUCAAGAUCCCUGUGAACUAAAUUAUGACAGAGGGCUGGAGAGCUGAUAUACCCCUAAGUUGGCACUCAGCAUCAACCAUCACAAAUAGUAAAGAAGAAAAAGAGGAGGAGGAGGAGAAAAGAGUGAGGAGGAGGAAGGAGGAAAAGAAAAGAAGAGAAGAAGAAAACAGAGGAGGAGGAGAAAG
rnacentral:lncRNA from 10 species